rnacentral:rRNA from 1 species
UUUAAGCAUAUAAUUAAGCGGAGGAAAAGAAAAUAACUAUGAUUCCCUCAGUAACGGCGAGUGAAGCGGGAAGAGCUCAUUCUGUGAAUCUGUAUGCUCUUUUGGUAUACCGAGUUGUAGAAUAUAGAAGCACAUCAGUGCGAAUUCCGGUCUAAGUCUCUUGGAAAAGAGCAGCUAAGAGGGUGAGACUCCCGUUCUUGGCUGGAAUUCAAACUUUAGCAUGUGGUUUCGACGAGUCGAGUUGCUUGGGAUUGCAGCUCAAAGUUGGUGGUAAAUUCCAUCUAAAGCUAAAUAUCGGUGGGAGACCGAUAGCGUACAAGUACCGUGAGGGAAAGAUGCAAAGAACUUUGAAAAAAGAGUUAAAGAGUACCUGAAAUUGCUGAAAUGGAAGCGAAGGAAACCAGUGCCGUUCUGUAUCAUUCUUCCGUCCUUGCUUGCGAGGGUGGCGCUGUGAUGCAGGAUAGGCCAGCGUGGGUUUGAGCCGAAGGAAGCAGCUCUUCAGGAGGCAGCGCAAUUUCUGUGCGAUUACUGUUGAGCUUUGCUUCGGCUUGGACUGAGGCUAGUCACUUGUGCUCGUGACGCUGGCGAAAUGGUUUUCUUUACCCCGUCUUGAAACACGGACCAAGGAGUCUAACAUAUGUGCGAGUAUAUGAGUGACAAACUCACAUGCGAAAUGAAAGUAACAGUGGUUGGACCUUCUGGGCACAAUCCGCCGGCCACAAUCCUUCGG